rnacentral:lncRNA from 1 species
UGGUAGUUUCCAUAGUACUUUUAUCAUUCAGUUCCUCAUGAUUUAAUAAGGAUUAGAAAUCUCUGAUUUCCAGUUUUUUUUAACCUUUUUCCUUUUUAAUUAUUGGUAGUAGUGUUUUUAUUAUAUGAUUAGUUUAGCAGUCCUGAUAACAUAAUGAGACUGUGACAAGGUAAACGUGUGACUGGCUUUAGUCCAUCAGCAUUGC